AGAAGCUUGCUUCUGGUGGAUGAGUGGCGAACGGGUGAGUAACACGUGAGUAACCUGCCCCCGAUUUCGGGAUAAGCCCGGGAAACUGGGUCUAAUACCGGAUAUGACCUGCCCUCGCAUGAGGGUUGGUGGAAAGUUUUUCGAUCGGGGAUGGGCUCGCGGCCUAUCAGCUUGUUGGUGGGGUAAUGGCCUACCAAGGCGACGACGGGUAGCCGGCCUGAGAGGGCGACCGGCCACACUGGGACUGAGACACGGCCCAGACUCCUACGGGAGGCAGCAGUGGGGAAUAUUGCACAAUGGGGGAAACCCUGAUGCAGCGACGCAGCGUGCGGGAUGACGGCCUUCGGGUUGUAAACCGCUUUCAGCAGGGAAGAAGCCGUAAGGUGACGGUACCUGCAGAAGAAGUACCGGCUAACUACGUGCCAGCAGCCGCGGUAAUACGUAGGGUACGAGCGUUGUCCGGAAUUAUUGGGCGUAAAGAGCUCGUAGGUGGUUGGUCACGUCUGCUGUGGAAACGCAACGCUUAACGUUGCGCGUGCAGUGGGUACGGGCUGACUAGAGUGCAGUAGGGGAGUCUGGAAUUCCUGGUGUAGCGGUGAAAUGCGCAGAUAUCAGGAGGAACACCGGUGGCGAAGGCGGGACUCUGGGCUGUAACUGACACUGAGGAGCGAAAGCAUGGGGAGCGAACAGGAUUAGAUACCCUGGUAGUCCAUGCCGUAAACGUUGGGCA
rnacentral:rRNA from 1 species